rnacentral:misc_RNA from 1 species
UCUCUCUCUCUCUCUCUCUCAACAUGCUCUUGAAUAUAUACACAGCCCUCUUCGUAACCAGACUGAGUCUCUCAUCUUUCUCUUUUGUUUAGUUUUUUUUCUUUAACAUAAUCUUGAUUUGUCAUAUCUUUUCUCUUCUUUUAUCCGAAAACGUAAGGAUGACUGGUGUAUCAGAUGGAGAAAGUGUCUCUCUCGAUCUUCUCAAGAAGAAAAUGGCUGAGUUUGCUCAGGAAAGAGACUGGGAUCGCUUUCAUAGCCCCAGAAAUCUACUUUUGGCUCUGGUGGGUGAAGUUGGAGAACUAUCAGAGAUAUUUCAGUGGAAAGGAGAAGUGCCAAAGGGACUCCCUGAUUGGAAAGAAGAAGAGAAAGUGCACCUUGGGGAAGAGCUCUCCGAUGUUCUGCUGUAUCUUGUCAGGCUUUCUGAUAUAUGUGGAAUUGACUUAGGCAAAGCUGCCCUGAGAAAAGUAGAACUGAAUGCCAUCAAGUACCCAGUAAGCAUGUGCAAAGGGUCUUCCAAGAAAUACAACAGCAAUAGUAAUAAUAGCACUCAUAACUGAGAAUAGACCAGUUGACUGUAUUUUUUGGCCUGCUGCCCUGAAACACAACUACAGCUUCAAGACUUUUUGGGCCAUUUUGUCGAGUUUGUGCCUUGUUUGUUUGGGAAAUGGACAAGUGUUUUAGGUAAUUAGUAGGGUUUUUGAUGGGUAUGGUUGUUUGGGGGGUGUGGUGGGGGUGGUGGUUGGUUUAGCAUAGAAGUGGCAAACUAGCAAUUAGCAAGCAAAUGUAGGAGUGAGCAGACUGCAUGGAGGCUAGUAUGGGUGGCUUUAUUUUUGGCAUUUAUUCUUGCAGAUUUUUUAUUUGCUGUUUUAGCUUUGAGUCAAAUCCCUCUUGACAGAUAAGGUAGUGAAAUAUAUACAUAUAUUUGUGAGAAUUAUGAGCAAAUAGACUAAAACAAAUAAAUAAAUAAAUUUUAUGCCAU